rnacentral:rRNA from 3 species
UACAGAGGGUGCAAGCGUUAAUCGGAAUUACUGGGCGUAAAGCGCGCGUAGGUGGUUUGUUAAGUUGGAUGUGAAAGCCCCGGGCUCAACCUGGGAACUGCAUUCAAAACUGACAAGCUAGAGUAUGGUAGAGGGUGGUGGAAUUUCCUGUGUAGCGGUGAAAUGCGUAGAUAUAGGAAGGAACACCAGUGGCGAAGGCGACCACCUGGACUGAUACUGACACUGAGGUGCGAAAGCGUGGGGAGCAAACAGG